AUACGGAGGGUGCGAGCGUUAAUCGGAAUUACUGGGCGUAAAGCGUACGUAGGCGGUUGGUUAAGUUAGAUGUGAAAGCCCCGGGCUUAACCUGGGAACUGCAUUUAAAACUGGCGAACUAGAGUUGAGUAGAGGGGAGUGGAAUUUCAGGUGUAGCGGUGAAAUGCGUAGAGAUCUGAAGGAACACCAGUGGCGAAGGCGACUCCCUGGACUCGAACUGACGCUGAGGUACGAAAGCGUGGGGAGCAAACAGGAUUAGAUACCCUAGUAGUCC
rnacentral:rRNA from 1 species